AUGGCUGGUCUCAACUCCAUCGAUGACUCCAACUGGGCGGAAGUAAAGCAUAUCAAUUGUUAUGCAAUGUUUAUGGGUUACCUAUGGAUGGCAAUGAGAGGGUUGGGCCUCUUAGUGGUUACGUGGACCACCGUCGUCCUUCUUGGUGGUUUCGUAUCCAUGCUGAAUAAGAAGGACUUUUGGUGUCUCACAGUGAUUACCCUCGUUCAAACAGCCGGGUUAGUCGAUCAUGCUUUCUUUCCUAUUAAUUUCUACUUCAAUAUUUUCUGA
rnacentral:rRNA from 1 species